AUAUACUUUUUUUUUUUACACAACAGCAUGACCUAAGGGACUAUGCCAUCAGAUAAAGACAAUUGGGACCACAUCAUUAAAAAGGUGGGAAGGAAAAUGAAUGUGCUUUGGUUUCCUUCAGAUAUUUCACCUGAAAUGUGAACAUUAUUAUUUUUUUCCAAUGAAAUCAUUGUAUAAAACACUCUUGGUAAUUAUCACAGGCAUGGCAGGCCCUAAUAUCACAUUCAUAGAGAUGAUUAUGAAAUAUUGCAUAGUACCACUGUUCAUUUGAUAUCCAACAUUGUGCUAAACAACAGUUUAUAACAUAUGCAGAAAAAACAAUUUAAAAUAGCAUUACAAAUAUUGAUUCAAGCAUUUUACAAUUUUUAAACCCACUAAAUAGGCCUUUUAAGGUAUACAGUGUCAAAACCUCACAAUAUACAAUAGAGAUAAAUCUGUUUUCCUUUAUGACAUUUAAUCUAAGCAAUCGGUAAUUUAAACUCUCUUUGGUGUCUUUUCCUUGGCAUACAGCAGAUAUUAUGUAUAAUAGCCAACCUGUACCAUGUGCAACACUACACAAAUUCCUUUCAGUAGCACAUCUCACAUACUGGAAUCAGAAAGCCACUAGAAAAAGCCUAUUCCUCACCAUUUUCACCAUCUUUCAAAGGCAACGCUGUUACUGAUUGCUCUGUAUAUGCGCAGCGGCCAUAUCGUCAGCACACACAAAUAGUCUGCCAACUCCCACAGGGCGCUAAUGCGAUUUAUGCUGAAUACACAUGUAAGUAACAUUGUACUUUAAUCCUUGAGCAUAGUCAAAAAGGUAGAGAUGGAUAAAGAACAGCCAGAGAUGGAGGCCAAAGAAGAGGGAAGGAUUUAGGAUGCAGACAGAAAACAAAAAUGAGUGAGGGAGAGCAGAUGUCUACAGUCCCGAGAGUCCCAUUGGUUCGGCCUAAUCUAUCCAGUGGACGGCGUGUUUGACUUUCUCCAUCCAUCUCUGCCUCCCACAGCUACCAAUGCAAAUCUGCAAGAGUGAGAUACUGUAGGACCCUUUCAUAAGCACAAAAGACACGGAGAUGUAUUCCUCAGUAUCUUUACAUGUUCCUUCUAUCCUUUCUCUAAACCUCUGUUGCCCACUCUAGAUCUGUCUUUCUAUUAUUCCAGUUCAAACAGUGCUGGCAAACCUAUCACCACAAAAUCCCACAUUCCAAAGCAUCUUUCAUAAUUCCAUUUUACCCAGACAUAUGCAACAAUGACUGACAAAGAAAAGCCCUUAGAAUAACACUAACACAUACUGCUUAUUUAUGUGCAGCUUAGAAUCCAAUCAGGAACCAAGAAGAUACUAAAUCUGCAUCAAUCAGUGUCGUCAGUUCAACCUAUCAUUAUCCAACUAAUCUAAAAUAGUCUCUGAAACUUGAUACAGCACCAUCUGCAUUUAACUUAAC